rnacentral:rRNA from 1 species
AACGUAGGACGCAAGCGUUAUCCGGAAUUACUGGGCGUAAAGCGCGUGUAGGUGGUUGCAUAAGUCACUGUUGAAAGCUCCCGGCUAAACUGGGAGAGGUGCGGUGAGACUGUGCGGCUAGAGUACGGGAGAGGGAUGCAGAAUUCCGGGUGUAGUGGUGAAAUGCGCAGAUAUCAGGAAGAACACCCGUGGCGAAGGCGGCUCUCUGGGACGGUACUGACGCUGAGACGCGAAAGCGUGGGGAGCGAACAGG